UUUAAAAAUUUGCAACUUUAAUAUAUACUAAUUUAAAAAAUAAAUUGUUCUCACGGUAUACCGCGGGUUAAAAUCUAGUUCGUUUACAUAUUU
rnacentral:sRNA from 1 species